UCCUACACUGCUCGUCUAAAAUUGUCUUCAACGAUGGCUUCCAAAUUUGUUUUUCUCUGCGGUAAAUUUACUCCAAGAUUUCGUCUGAAAUUUAUUCUUCUUCUGCAGUUUUUAAGUCGAUUGGGAGAGCUACGAUUGACCUUUUGGAUCAGCUGUUAUUUACCUUCUACUUGAUCAUGGUGCCGAACAGUAACGUUGAAGAAAAUGAUUCAAUCUUUCAGUCAUGCCAAUGACUUCCAUGUUUAUUCAAACCAACGGAAAAUUUAGCCCUUCAAUUUAUCAAGAAAUUAGGCACGACUUUGAUUAUUUGAUAGGCUGCAAUUUUGUUGGUGGGACUAAAGCUAUGAUUCACCAUUCACGUGCUCUCGGUGCCUGUAGCCAAAAGUUGAAGGGAGCUUUGACAUUCAAGCACUUGAAUCCGAUUAGCAGUACUUUAUUUUCUUCCUCUAGAUUCUCUAUUCUUCUAAUAUAAUAUGCUAGUAUGCU